GGACUGUUCUCUACAGUUCGGAUAUUGGGCGUAAGAGCUCGUAGGCGGUUUGUCGCGUCUGCUGUGAAAUCCGGAGGCUCAACCUCCGGCCUGCAGUGGGUACGGGCAGACUAGAGUGCGGUAGGGGAGAUUGGAAUUCCUGGUGUAGCGGUGGAAUGCGCAGAUAUCAGGAGGAACACCGAUGGCGAAGGCAGAUCUCUGGGCCGUAACUGACGCUGAGGAGCGAAAGGGUGGGGAGCAAACAGGCUUAGAUACCCUGGUAGUCCACCCCGUAAACGUUGGGAACUAGUUGUGGGGUCCAUUCCACGGAUUCCGUGACGCAGCUAACGCAUUAAGUUCCCCGCCUGGGGAGUACGGCCGCAAGGCUAAAACUCAAAGGAAUUGACGGGGACCCGCACAAGCGGCGGAGCAUGCGGAUUAAUUCGAUGCAACGCGAAGAACCUUACCAAGGCUUGACAUAUACGAGAACGGGCCAGAAAUGGUCAACUCUUUGGACACUCGUAAACAGGUGGUGCAUGGUUGUCGUCAGCUCGUGUCGUGAGAUGUUGGGUUAAGUCCCGCAACGAGCGCAACCCUCGUUCUAUGUUGCCAGCACGUAAUGGUGGGAACUCAUGGGAUACUGCCGGGGUCAACUCGGAGGAAGGUGGGGAUGACGUCAAAUCAUCAUGCCCCUUAUGUCUUGGGCUUCACGCAUGCUACAAUGGCCGGUACAAAGGGCUGCAAUACCGCGAGGUGGAGCGAAUCCCAAAAAGCCGGUCCCAGUUCGGAUUGAGGUCUGCAACUCGACCUCAUGAAGUCGGAGUCGCUAGUAAUCGCAGAUCAGCAACGCUGCGGUGAAUACGUUCCCGGGUCUUGUACACACCGCCCGUCAGUCAUGAAAGUCGGUAACACCUGAAGCCGGUGGCCUAACCCUUGUGGAGGGAGCCGUCGAAAGUUGGGAUCGGUAAUUAGGACUAAGUCGUAACAAGUUAGACCCA
rnacentral:rRNA from 1 species